rnacentral:misc_RNA from 1 species
AACGGUCUAUACCUGCGGUACCUGCGGAAGGAUCAUUAUAGAGUGGUAAACCUCCCGUAAAAGGGGGGGACCUCCUGUCCUUUGUAGGCUCUUUUUUAAAAGGGCUUUUUUUAAUUUUCUGCUUCGGUGGGGUUAUCCCACCGGAACAACCUCAAAACUCUCAUCACAAAAUCGUUCUGUCUGAGAACCUUUUAUAAUAAAAAAAAACUUUCAGCAACGGAUCUCUAGAUCGGAAGAGCA